UACGGGGGGAGCAAGCGUUGUUCGGAUUUACUGGGCGUAAAGGGCGCGUAGGCGGUCAGCACAAGUCAGUUGUGAAAUCUCCGAGCUUAACUCGGAAAGGUCAACUGAUACUGUGCGACUAGAGUGCGGAAGGGGCAACUGGAAUUCUCGGUGUAGCGGUGAAAUGCGUAGAUAUCGAGAGGAACACCUGCGGCGAAGGCGGGUUGCUGGGCCGACACUGACGCUGAUGCGCGAAAGCCAGGGGAGCGAACGGG
rnacentral:rRNA from 1 species